rnacentral:rRNA from 1 species
UACGAAGGGGGCUAGCGUUGUUCGGAAUCACUGGGCGUAAAGGGCGCGUAGGCGGCUUUAUAAGUCGGGGGUGAAAGCCUGUGGCUCAACCACAGAAUUGCCUUCGAUACUGUAGAGCUUGAGACCGGAAGAGGUAAGUGGAAUUGACGGUGUAGCGGUGAAAUGCUUAGAGAUCGGGAGGAACAUCAGUGGUGAAGGCGGCCAUCUGGGACAACACUGACGCUGAAGCACGAAAGCGUGGGGAGCAAACAGG